AUUCUUCUAAAAUACAAAAGUACAAUGUUUAUUAAUGUAAAUGAUUUCGGCUAAACAAAAGUCGAACCCAAAUUUUUCGAUAAUAUAAAAAAAUAUUCCCGCAGUAAUGAACUACCGCGUAUAUAAUGCAAUAUUUUCAAGGUAUAAAUUAAAUAAAUGUAAACAAUGUUUGUCUCUAAGUUCGAUUUGAGAUAAGGUGUCAUCCAAUAUAACAAUAAACGAGCCACCCAAUAAGUAGGUAUAAACCAACUUUUUAGUUUUAAAUACAAGCAAAUGCAUAUAUUUCUUGCGAACAGCAAACAGCAAAAACUCUUUUUUUUUGGGGUAAUUAUAUGUAAAUAGAUCAGCAAGGAUGUAAACGAAAAGAUCCAAUUUUUGCAAAAUUAAAAAGAAUUUACUGAGACUUAAGCCUCGUAUAAAAAUAAUAAGAAGCAAACGCAAAAUAAAACCCAAAUUGUAAAAGCAGCUUAUAAACAUCCAAAAAAUAUCUUCGAAGACGCCGUCCAAAACACAAAAAUAAACUUGGAUCGCCGAAAACAAUAAUUAAAAAAAUAAAAACGGAUUUCCGAAAGGAGCGUGCUUUACCGACAUAACACACAAAACUUACCAAUAUGGGGCCGCUGAAAUAACGUAACUUCACAAACAUGUCUCGAAUUUAAUACAAUCGGGUCAUGAACUUUGAUAAGAAAAUUCAAUAACAACAAGUCUUUACGCAACACGAAAACUCCACUCACCACACUCCACAUUCACGUUCAAACACAAUUUCUCCGCCAAAAUGGACGGCAAUGUUACAAUCGCAUAAUAGCAAACACCACUGAAAAAUAUUAGAAAUAGCUGGUAUAAUAUAAACACACAAGAACCAUUCGGCCAUAACCAAAGCAAGGGAGACGCUGUCAACUACAGUAUCAAAAUGCAGAACGCACAUUGUUUAGCGGACUCUGGUCUGAACUAUGAGGUUCGGUAAGGAACGCAGAAACAACAGGGAAACCGUGAACAUAAAAUGAAAACUCAAAUCAUAAAUCAAACGCACUUCGUGAACUUCGAGAGGGGUUUAUGAAUAAUCUCGUCCAAAUAGAUCACUGACGGAGUAUAGAAAGCCUGCGCUCAUGACCUACAAAAUUUUAACUAUCUUGCCAUUGGCCCGUAAAGGCAGGACGUAGGGUACAUCCCUGCCUGCGACUAUACCGCCACACACUCCCUGGUUAAACAACCAUAUUUUUAAAGAUAGCGAUUUUAUGAAUAAUCUCGUCCGAAUAGAUCACUGAGGUAGUAUAGCAAGUAUGUGUUCAUGAUCCACAAAAUUAUAACUAUCUCGCCAAUGGCCAGUAAAAAGACAGGAAGACGUAGGGUACAUUCCUGCCUGCGACUGUACCGCCACACACUCCGUGCUUCAACCACCAUAUUUUUAAAGAUAUGAAAAAGCGCGAUUUGGGUGAUCUAUUCGGACAAGAUUGUUUAUAAAAUCGCCCUCGAACUUCACAAAGUUCGUUUGAUUUUAUAAUUUUAUUUCAUAUUUCGUCCGAAUAGAUCACUAAGGUAGAACUUUAAAGGUAAUAGCACUUUUUCAAUGAUUAAAAAAUUUUUUGGCAAAUUGAACUUAAAAAACUUAUAACUCAGAACUAGGCUAAGAAUUGGUAUUAAUUUACACAUUGUCAACCAAAAUGUUUCAAGACACUUAAUUUAGCAAUCCUGCUAAAUAAUAAAUAUAAAAAGUUUUAUCUACAAGACAAAUCAGAAUUAUUAAACGAUUAUAUAAGAAAUAAAUUAGUGCAGGAUCCAUACUUAUUUUACAAAAAUGUUAGUAGUUCAAACUAAUGUAAAAUCAGCGUUUUCUUGGUAACAAAAGUUUUUCCCUUAGAUAUUUUCUGUAAGGUUUUGAACACUGUUUAUUGGGAUGUUGUAAAAUUUUGUCAAUACUGAGGAAUUUUGGUUCAACCAGCAGUUCUCCUAAUUGUAGAACACCAUUCUUAAAGACUGUGGAUAUCGCUGCAUGUUUCACUGAAUAGUGAAUAUCAGAUUCAGCUAUAAAAUCUUUAAUUAAAAACUUAAAAGUUCCCAACAAUUUGGUAAAAUUUUUGAUAUUGCAGGAACUUAGUUUUUUAAAGUUAAUAAGGCUUGAAUAAACGAUUUUGCAUUUUUCCGAAGGUAAGUUGAUUGAUACAUAUGUAGUUUCCAGUAUAAAGCAUAGGAAUCUACAAUUUUGUUUUGGAAUAAGCUCUUACCAUAGUUUACCUAGAAACCACAUUUUUUCAGAUUUUUUAAGAUUCUUUUUGCUUUGUUAGCACAUUCAUGGGCGUUUUUGGCAAUAAUUAGAAAAUCAUCAAUGUAAACUACUACAAAUAUACUCCUUCUAAAAUAGGUCACUAUAAGCCUUGUAAGUUUUGAAAAAAAUUAAGGGAAAGCAGAGAGGUGGAAAUGUAAGAUUUAAAUUUAAACCUUAAAGGUUUUCUGUUAGCAAUACAGCCAGCAUAAUAUGCGUCUUUCAGAUCUACAAUGGCUAUGAAAAAGUUCGGUUGCAGAAGCUUAAAGGCUGUUUAAAUAUUCACUAAUAUAUACAAAGCUAUUAAUUUUUUUUUAAUUUAAAAUGAAUCUCUCAUUUUAAUUUGGUUUAAAAGUUAAAAAAUGAUGAGACAAACUGUCCAACACUUGGAUUACAUUUUUUAACUUCUUUCCUUAAUAAUUCCUGAAUCUCUUCUGACAUAUCCUGUUCUUGUUGACUAUUAAGAUUCGAGCAUAACAGUAACAGUGUACCAUUACUGGUAAUAUUCGUCCACUCAAUGAGGUGGAAGAGUAAUUUUCCAGAAAUGCAUUUACUUACCAAUCUAUAAUAAUAUCAAUAACAUCUAUUUUUGUGGCUCCUAGGAGGGCUGUAAUGCCCCUUUGGGCCCUGCUGUUUAAAUUUCUGUUAUCGACUUUCUCCUGUGAUCUGAAUACCUUACUUACCUUCUCUCAUUAUUUGCAAAUAUCAUAUCUCUUUCAAAAUUAAUGGCCUCUAAUCCUCCGGUUGUAUGGACCAAUUGUAUUUCAGAUUUCCAUUUAUCCGCAAAGUUUUUACCAAAAAAAUAUUGCUCAGAUUGGUUCUGGCAUGCAAUAUCUUCGCCACUUUUUUUAAAAAAAUGAAGGUAUGCCAACAGCUUCACAGCGCCAUUCGGAAAGGGAAGUCUUUCACAAGGUUUUGUCCCUUAGGAAAAUAUUCAUUGCCAUUCCAAUAGUGGAAAUGCCCUUACCUAUUUGGUUCUGCAACUGCAUUUGAGAGGAGUCGUUAUUGAAGAUUUCAGCAAAAUUUUGAUUUCUUCAUUCAUUGUAGUGCAGUUAAUAGACUACAAUUAUUUGGAAUUCCAUAUUUACAGAACAGUUCUUCCUUAGCCCCUUUCUCUUUGCCUGGACCAUUUUUAAGAAGGUACAGAAGACAAAUUGUGAAGUUGAUAAUGGCUAGCAGAUCUUGAAACUGCCCUAUGAGAAGUCGAAUUACUUUAUUCGACACUUAUGGGGCUCAAAGUUCAACUUUGUGUAGAAUUAAGUGAAGUUGCAAGGCUUCUCAUUGAGCAUUGGACUCACAGCCAAAACUUGAAUGUCUCAAACAAUUUCAGGGUUUCUUGUAUUGCAGGCUUUCAAAAGAAGAUCUUCAAUCCGCUUUUAUCCGCGUCUGAACCUAAAGGUGACCUUGAACGCGUCUUUUUUUUUUCAGACUUUUUAUGUUUAGAUUCUCAUUCGGGUCUCCUGGAUGUUAGAGAAUCCUUUGAACUGCUUUUUUCUUUUCUUGCCACCCAUUUUUUGGCCCUAAAGGAAUUAUUAUCCAAAAAUACGCACAUGCAAAAUGUGUCCUGAGCACAAAAAAGCAAUAUGACGGUUGAAGCACGGAAUGUGUGGCGGUAAAGUCGCAGGCACAGAUAGGUGCUGCUUUUUUAAAGGCCACUGGCAAGAUCGUGAAAAUCUUGUGGAUCGUAAGCACGUCACAGACUUGUACUAUCUUAACUAUCAAAUCAAUAUUAUGAAAUAAAUAAACUCACCUCAGUCUUUUGUGAAAUAAACAUUUGAGUUCAAUGAGAGUAUGAGGUUCGGAAACGAAAAUGUAUUUCAUGAACAAUAACAUUAUGAAGAAAAUGUACUAUGUUAAGGACCUGCUACAAAAAUUGGGAAAAAAAUAUACAACAAUCUCCUAUUACAGUUCCAGGAUGUCGCCACCUAGUGUGUUACAAUAUUGAAGAACAAGUGGGUUUCACUAAAUAUUUGGGAGUAUAAAAAGACAAAAACUUAAGGUGGGACAUUCACCUCACAUACCUUACGAAAAAGAUAACACUA